rnacentral:lncRNA from 1 species
AGGUGAAGAGGUGGUCGAUGUGCUUGCUUCUGCCGAUAGAGAAUCUAAAAUCAGUCUGAUCUUUCUCUCAAUGUCAAAAAUCCUACCACUGAACCUAAGCAAGGAGCUCUCUACACUCUCCAGUCUAGAGCUCAGGUCAGACAAAAGCUACAUCAAUAAGGAUAUUUGUGGCACAACAGAAAAGUCUGAGGAAGAGUCAGAAAAAGAACUCAACGGAG